GGAGGACUGCCUGAUGGAGGGGGAUAACUACUGGAAACGGUAGCUAAUACCGCAUAACGUCGCAAGACCAAAGAGGGGGACCUUCGGGCCUCUUGCCAUCGGAUGUGCCCAGAUGGGAUUAGCUAGUAGGUGGGGUAACGGCUCACCUAGGCGACGAUCCCUAGCUGGUCUGAGAGGAUGACCAGCCACACUGGAACUGAGACACGGUCCAG
rnacentral:rRNA from 1 species